UUGGAAGAAGGUCUGGUCUGGAGUCGGAUGAGUUAGAAACAGACUUUUAAUGCUUUGGAUACGCCUGAGCAUUGCCGGAGAGGCCAUGGAACCAUAGAUCUGAGAAGACUUGAAAGAGAACUGUCAAGGUCAGACCUCAAAACUUCGAACAUCCAGGGAUUUAUGGUAGAAGGGGGUGAAUACAUAUCAUCCAUGGCCUGAGAAGCCAUAAAUUCUAGUGAAAGGGUGGAAAAAGGGUCGAAAACGACUAGGAUUCCAAAGAACCUUCGAGGGUGUUUUGAGAGAGGAGAGUAUUCAAAGGC
rnacentral:lncRNA from 1 species